rnacentral:rRNA from 1 species
UACGAAGGGGGCGAGCGUUGUUCGGAAUUACUGGGCGUAAAGGGCGCGCAGGCGGCUCAGACAGUCAGAUGUGAAAGCCCCGGGCUUAACCUGGGAACUGCAUUUGAUACUACUGAGCUUGAGUACGGGAGAGGAUAGUGGAAUCCCCAGUGUAGAGGUGAAAUUCGUAGAUAUUGGGAAGAACACCGGUGGCGAAGGCGGCUAUCUGGACCGUAACUGACGCUGAGGCGCGAAAGCGUGGGGAGCAAACAGG